rnacentral:lncRNA from 1 species
CGGCCGCUGAACCCGAGGAUGUGCAUUCGAUUGUUCGAGAUCUGAACAGUCUGGCCCUCACCUUCCCGGCCUUUUGUGCUGGGACAAGGCCAGUCAGUGCUGUGAGCUCCUGCCAGGGGUGACUUGGUUUAAUCAAACCACUGUGUGCCUGGGGGAGCUCCCCGCCUGCCCCGAUUAUACGUGCAUCCCCCCUGCGCUGCUUCGCACCCCCCCAGUCACAUUCAUCCGAUUUCGUUACAUUUCAGAGCACAACACAGGAGGGUCGGAUGCAAACCGCGCAGCUUCUGUCUCGGAGAACAUCGAGUCCACGCACGGCAGCUGCUCCGGCCCCGCUUGGCCUUGGGCUGAAGGCACCGUGUGGUUUUGGGUCUGGUGUGGUGGGAGCAGGAGGGCCCGGUCACCUCCCCUUCCUGCUUCCAGCUCUGUCCGUUCCCAGUUGGUGCCACUGCCCAGCCUCCCCCGGUCACUGCCCUCUGACCUGUGGGGUGGCCUCCCAGGCACAUUCUCCAGAGGUGGGGCCUUCUCAGCACUUCGAAGGGCCAGCUUGGUCACUUUACGUAUCUCCAGAAAGACUCCAGGCGCCGGUAACAGCCACCCCCCAGACGAGACGUGCCUGCAGACGAAGCCAAACCUCCCCAGAAACAGAAAAUGCCCUGGGCUGAGACCCAUCAGGGAGGCGGUGGGGGAGAAGCAGAGCUUCAGGGCUGUGGCCACUUUAAUGGAAUCUGUCUGUCAUGAUAAGGAAGUGGAGAGUCUCUCAGCGCUCUACAGGCAAGCUUGGGGCUCGAGCCAUGGGUUUUCUGAAAAAACAUUAUUGGAUAAGGAAAAUAAAAAUCGCUUGUCGUACUUUUCAACAUUUUCAUUCUGUCUCACUUAAGGUUGGGUAAAUGUUUAUAUUUUUUGCCCUUUCGUAAUUUGUUCUUCUAAUUGUGGCAAAAUGUGGGUAACACAAAGUCUGCCGCACGGGGUUUC